rnacentral:rRNA from 1 species
UAACCUACGGGACGCAGCAGUGGGGAAUAUUGGACAAUGGGGGGAACCCUGAUCCAGCGACGCCGCGUGAGUGAAGAAGUAUUUCGGUAUGUAAAGCUCUAUCAGCAGGGAAGAAAAUGACGGUACCUGACUAAGAAGCCCCGGCUAACUACGUGCCAGCAGCCGCGGUAAUACGUAGGGGGCAAGCGUUAUCCGGAUUUACUGGGGGUAAAGGGAGCGCAGACGGCAGUGCAAGUCUGGAGUGAAAGCCCGGGGCUCAACCCCGGGACUGCUUUGGAAACUGCAUAG